rnacentral:rRNA from 1 species
AGGAUGAACGCUGGCGGCAUGCCUAAUACAUGCAAGUCGUACGGGAAAGCUUGCUUUCCAGUGGCGAACGGGUGAGUAACACGUAGAUAACUUAUCCUUAAGCCGGGGAUAACAGUUGGAAACGACUGCUAAUACCGGAUAGGAUAUGCGACCGCAUGGAUGCAUAUUUAAAGGCGCGCAUGCGCCGCUUAGGGAGAGGUUUACGUCGCAUUAGCUAGUUGGUGGGGUAAAGGCCUACCAAGGCUAUGAUGCGUAGCUGUGCUGAGAGGCAGAACAGCCACACUGGGACUGAGACACGGCCCAGACUCCUACGGGAGGCAGCAGUAGGGAAUUUUCGGCAAUGGGGGAAACCCUGACCGAGCAAUGCCGCGUGAACGAAGAAGGUCUUCGGAUCGUAAAGCUCUGUUAUCGGGAAAGAAUGGCAUGGUGAGGAAAUGCGCCAUGUAUGACGGUACCCGAUGAGAAGCCCCGGCUACUAUGUGUCAGCACCGCGGUACACUAGGGGCGAGCGUAUCCGAAUACUGGCGUAAGCGUGUGUAGCGNCUAUAGUCUGCUGAAUCCACGCUUACUGUGAGGCGUGAA